GAUGAAGAACGCAGCGAAAUGCGAUACGUAAUGUGAAUUGCAGAAUUCAGUGAAUCAUCGAGUCUUUGAACGCACAUUGCGCCCCCUGGUAUUCCGGGGGGCAUGCCUGUCCGAGCGUCAUUGCUGCCCUCAAGCCCGGCUUGUGUGUUGGGUCUCGUCCCCCUUCCCGGGGGGACGGGCCCGAAAGGCAGCGGCGGCACCGUGUCCGGUCCUCGAGCGUAUGGGGCUUUGUCACCCGCUCUGUAGGCACGGCCGGCGCUUGCCGAUCAACCAAAACUUUUUUCCAGGUUGACCUCGGAUCAGGUAGGGAUACCCGCUGAACUUAAGCAUAUCAAUAAGCGGAGGA
rnacentral:misc_RNA from 1 species